AAUUCUAAUUCAUUUUAGGAUAACCCUUUGAACUUAAGCAUAUCAGUAAAAGGAGGAAAAGAAACUAACAAGGAUUUCUUUAGUAGUGGCGAAUGAACAAGAAAGAACUCAUUAUGUAAUCUAUAUUCAUUAUAGAGAUGUUAAAAGUUAUUGUUGUCAUUCAAAUCAUAGAUACAUUAAAUUGUAGUAAAUGAUGACAAUAAA
rfam:Nosema bombycis CQ1 unplaced genomic scaffold NBO_647, whole genome shotgun sequence.